rnacentral:lncRNA from 1 species
GCGAGUUGGCGAGCGGGGAGCGAUCGCGCCCGUUCCCCUCCCCGGGGGACGUACCUCGAUUUGGGGGAAGGGGGAGAGGGGAGGGGGAAGCGUUGCCAAAGUCGCCGCUUUUGGGGAAAACCGCCCCAAAACCAAANNNNNNNNNNNNNNNNNNNNNNNNNNNNNNNNNNNNNNNNNNNNNNNNNNNNNNNNNNNNNNNNNNNNNNNNNNNNNNNNNNNNNNNNNNNNNNNNNNNNAAACGGGGUGAAAAAAGGGGAUUUGGGGGGCGCUGAGGUGGUGGGGGGGGAGGGGAAGGGGUUUGGGGUGGUUUCUGGGGGUUUUGGGUGCGGCCGCUGCUGCGGGUUUUUGUCCGCAGUGCUGCAGGGGGAGCAGGGCCGGGGGCGGCGCCCUGAGACGGGUGUGGGGCCAGGACACGCGUGGGGAGGCGUGUGCGGGCCGGGACACGCGUGGGGGAGGCGUGUGGAGGUCAAGGACAGGCGUGUGCGGGGCGUGUGCGGGUUGGGACACGCGUGUGGGGGCUGGGACACGCAUGUGGGAGGCGUGUGCAGGCUUGGACACGCGUGUGUGUGGCCAGGACACGUGUGUAGGAGGCAUGUGGAGAUCAGUGACACGCAUGUGGGAGGCAUGUGCGGGCUGGGACACGCGUGUGUGGGGCCAGGACAUGCGUGGGGGAGGCGUGUGUGGGCUGGGACACGCGUGUGGGGGCUGGGACACACAUGUGGGAGGUGUGCAUGGCUGGAACACGUGUGUGGGAGGCGUGUGAGGGCUGGGACAUGCGUGUGGGGGUCAGGACAUGAGUGGGGGAGGCAUGUGCAGGCUGGGACAGGCGUGUGUGGGGCCAGGACAUGCGUGGGGGAGGCGUGGGGGAGGCAUGUGUGGGCUGAGACACGCGUGUGGGAGGCGUGUGUGGGGCUGGAACAUGCGUGGGGGAGGCGUGUGCAGGCUGGGACACGCGUGCAUGGGCUGGGACAUGCAUGUGGAAGGCAUGUGCAGGCUGGGACACGCGUGUAUGGGCUGGGACACGCGUGUGCAGGGCCAGGACACACGAAUCUGGGGCAUGUAACAGGUGUGGCAGCCUCUAACACGUAUGUGAGCCUGUGACACGCGUGUCCGAGGCCGUGACACCCACGACUCUGGGACAUGUGAGUCUCUAACACGCAUGUGAGCCUGUGACACGUGUGUGCACCGCGUCUGGCUGCAGAGGGGACGUGUGGAGGGGCAGAACACGCGUGUAACAUGUGACAUGCGUGUAACAUGCGUGUAACAUGUAUAUAACAUGCGUGUGAUGUGUGUAACAUGCGUGUAAUAGCAGGGCCCAUCCCUACCUGAACCCACAGCUCCGCUCCCUCCGGGGGGGUUCCCAGCAGCAGGGCCCUGCUGAGCAAAAACAGGCGGUUACGGCCCCGCCCUGCUCCUUUUUCCCCUUUUCCCCCAAAAUUUUGGGGUCCAUUUUUAGCAGCACGCACCCCUCCCUUCCCAUUCUCCCCCCCCACAAUGCAAAUAUGAUGAUUGAGUGCUCCACGUUGGCCGUUUUCACCCCUUUUUGCACCAAUUGUGCUGUGGCUCCUCACUACACCCCCUGACUUAGGGCUCAUAACAAAAAAGGGGAGUUUUGGGGUGAAAAACAGCAAAAAUGGGUGUUGGUUGUGGUGUGGGGUGGCAACAGCAGCAGGUGGUGCUUACAGCAAAGGGUUUGGGUUGGAUUCAUUGGAAAAGUGGGCAAAAGUGGGGGAGAACACCCAAAAACGGCCCAGUUAGCGCCGCACUCGAGCGGCUCAGCGAGCAGAUUCUGAGUUUAAAAGCCCAAAUUUUGGGCAAACUGCGAGAAAAACGUGGGGAACGCAGCCCUGAGCCCGUCACACCCCAAAUUUCGGGUGCUCAGGGGGUUUAAGCGCAGCCAGGGGGGUGCUGCAGGGGGAGGACGAGGACGGCGGGCACCGGGGCUUCGUCUUCUUCAUCCUCAUCCUCUUCCUCCUCCCGGGGGGCCGGCAGGGGGGCGAGGGGCCGGGGGUCCCCGGCGUAGCUGCGGACGGCCCCGCUGUGCUGCGGGGGGCGCUCGCGCAGCCAGGCCCAGUGCAAGGGCUCCGUCGCCAUGAUCUGC